UUUUUACAGUCAUCAUUAAUAAUAUUUAUCAAGGGUGCCAAUAAUUUUGUCCACAAAGAUGCGCAAUGUAAAAAGUACAGGGCAGAAAGAAAUAUACUAUUUGUUAAACUAGCAUGACUUGGAGUUGAGUCUUUUUCUGUUUUAUCUUUGUUUGGACACAGUGACAAGCAUAAACUGAUCUCCAAGAUAAUUCUUCAGUUCUUGCAUGACACAGGAUUGUAUAUAAGAAUUUAGUUUAAAUUUUGACCUGUGGAGGGCAGUAAUACACUUAGCAGCAUCUACAUUGCCAGAAUACUACAAGAAGAAGAAGAAGAAAAAGAGGCUGCACAAGUUUGAAAUGAGAAGCACCCCAGGUGUGAACAUGUUUGCCCUUGUGGAAUGGAAGGAUAAUGAGAAACAAACUGGAAAUUGGAGCAUUGUUCAAUAAUACAUAGAUGGACUACAGAUCAGUACACAUUGUUGAGUGGAGAGCGGGAUUUAAAAAAAAAAAAAAAAAAAAAAAAAAAACCCAAAGGAGGAUGGCCCUUGUACGAGGCAGUUGUACACAAGAUUGCAGAGAGACAGUCAACCCUUGAGAAAGUAACAAGGACAAAACAUCAGUCCAGUCCAGAAAUUCCUGGUAAAAGGAAAUGCAAACCAAACCCAAAAUUUGUGGAUGACUGAUACCAGACCAUCCACCCCCAAAAAAGCAUGCUUCAGCUGCUCCCCUAUCGCCUGCUCCACCUUCACUUGGUCUGGCUUCUCCUGGUCCACCUUCUCUUGGUCUGGCUUCUCUUGGUCUGGCUUCUCCUGGUCUGCCUUCUCCUGGUCUGCCUUCUCCUGGUCUGCCUUCUCCUGGUCUGCCUUCUCCUGGUCUGCCUUCUCCUGGUCUGCCUUCUCCUGGUCUGCCUUCUCCUGGUCUGCCUUCUCCUCGUCUGCCUUCUCCUCGUCCACCUUCUCCUCGUCUGGCUUCUCCUGGUCCGGCUUCACCUGCUCCACCUUCUCCUGCUCCACCUUCUCUUGGUCUGGCUUCUCCUCGUCCGCCUCCGCCUGCUCCAUCUUUUGCAUACAUAAUAAAAGAAUUACAAGCAGAAAAUGAGGUCCUCAAAAACGAAUUAGAAAAUCUGAAAACAAAUGUUAUCAGUUAAAUGCCAAAACUUAUCACAAUAAUGGAAAAAAUGGAGAAAUGGCUGGAAAACAAAGAGCAGAACCCACAACCAGCGCUGGCCUUAUCUUCCAACUUACAGGAUCAUGUGGCAAGACAAGGAAGGCAGGCGCUGGUGAAGCGAAAGAGGCCCUGGACCGGGUCAAAAUUGAUGCUAUAAUGAAUUCAGUGAUCCAGAAAUUUCCUGGAACCACAAGGGCCCAGCUAGGGAUAGCUGUAAAUCAGAAGCUCACUGAGCUGAGGGCCUCAAAAAAAAAAUGUAGAUUGAACCAGGCUGCACUAUUUGCUAUUUUAGUUUGUUUUGGGUGUUCGUUCUUUCGUUUUCUUUUUCUUUCUUUCUUUCUUUCUUUCUUUCCUUCUUUUUUUGUUCUGUGUUUUUAGUAUGUUGCCAAAUCUGAUUGUACAGCUGAUGUAUUUUUAUUUUUCAAAGAAAAGUUUAAAUAAAGAAUAUUUUCUUGCUAACUGCA